CCUACGGGAGGCAGCAGUGAGGAAUAUUGGUCAAUGGACGAGAGUCUGAACCAGCCAAGUCGCGUGAAGGAUGACUGCCCUAUGGGUUGUAAACUUCUUUUAUAAAGGAAUAAAACGAGGCACGUGUGCCUUUUUGCAUGUACUUUAUGAAUAAGGAUCGGCUAACUCCGUGCCAGCAGCCGCGGUAAUACGGAGGAUCCGAGCGUUAUCCGGAUUUAUUGGGUUUAAAGGGAGCGUAGAUGGGUUUUUAAGUCAGUUGUGAAAGUUUGCGGCUCAACCGUAAAAUUGCAAUUGAUACUGGCAGUCUUGAGUACAGUUGAGGUAGGCGGAAUUCGUGGUGUAGCGGUGAAAUGCGUAGAUAUUACGAAGAACACCGAUGGCGAAGGCAGCUUACUAAACUGUGACUGACAUUGAGGCUCGAAAGCGUGGGUAGCAAACAGGAUUAGAUACCCGAGUAGUC
rnacentral:rRNA from 1 species